rnacentral:rRNA from 1 species
UACGUAGGGAGCGAGCGUUGUCCGGAAUUACUGGGCGCAAAGGGCGCGUAGGCGGGAACUUAAGUUAGAUGUGAAAACUCCGGGCUUAACCUGGAGACUGCAUCUAAAACUGGGUUUCUUGAGGGCAGGAGAGGAAAGUGGAAUUCCUAGUGUAGCGGUGAAAUGCGUAGAUAUUAGGAGGAACACCAGUGGCGAAGGCGACUUUCUGGACUGUACCUGACGCUGAGGCGCGAAAGCAUGGGGAGCGAACAGG